CAGCAGCCACGGGAAUACGAAGGGGGCUAGCGUUGUUCGGAUUUACUGGGCGUAAAGCGCACGUAGGCGGACUUUUAAGUCAGGGGUGAAAUCCCGGGGCUCAACCCCGGAACUGCCUUUGAUACUGGGAGUCUUGAGUUCGAGAGAGGUGAGUGGAAUUGCGAGUGUAGAGGUGAAAUUCGUAGAUAUUCGCAGGAACACCAGUGGCGAAGGCGGCUCACUGGCUCGAUACUGACGCUGAGGUGCGAAAGCGUGGGGAGCAAACAGGAUUAGAUACCCCCGUAGUCCCUGUCUCUUAUAA
rnacentral:rRNA from 1 species